CUGCACUGCUCGCCUCGUCUUUGCCGUCUCUCCCCAUCACCAGGUGCUCUCAGCUCAGCCUCUCCUGCUUCAUUCACUUCAGGAGUCACUGCCGAUGGAAGCUUGUAAAAGAACAUCAGUUUGGAGUCCAGUUAGGAUUAACAAGCCAUCUUUUCACUUGUGAAGAACUGCAACACCUGGAAAAAAAAGAAAGAAUAAUUACAAAAUAAAGUGUGCAAAUCCUUCAACUUUUGUGUAUAAGGAGAACAAUAAAUAGUUGAAAAAUUA